AUGCAUGUAGCUCAGUUGGUUAGAGCGCUGCUGCGGAAUCACUGGGCUGCAGGUUCAAUUCCUGCCAUGCAGA